rnacentral:rRNA from 1 species
AGCAGCCGCGGUAAUUCCAGCUCCAAUAGCGUAUAUUAAAGUUGUUGCAGUUAAAAAGCUCGUAGUUGAAUUUCGGGAUUGACACAUCGGUCGUGCCUUAAGGGGUAUGAACUGGUGUAGUCAAUUUCUCACCUUCUGGAGAACCGCAAUGCCCUUAAUUGGGUGUCGCGGGGAACCAGGACCUUUACUUUGAAAAAUUAGAGUGUUUAAAGCAGGCAUUUUGCUUGAACACAUUAGCAUGGAAUAAUAAAAUAGGACGGCAUGAUUCUAUUUUGUUGGUUUCUAGGAUCACCGUAAUGAUUAAUAGGGAUAGUUGGGGGCAUUAGUAUUCAAUUGUCAGAGGUGAAAUUCUUGGAUUUAUUGAAGACUAACUACUGCGAAAGCAUUUGCCAAGGAUGUUUUCAUUAAUCAAGAACGAAAGUUAGGGGAUCGAAGACGAUCAGAUACCGU